rnacentral:rRNA from 1 species
GACGAACGCUGGCGGCGUGCUUAACACAUGCAAGUCGAACGGAAAGGCCCUGCUUUUGUGGGGUGCUCGAGUGGCGAACGGGUGAGUAACACGUGAGUAACCUGCCCUUGACUUUGGGAUAACUUCAGGAAACUGGGGCUAAUACCGGAUAGGAGCUCCUGCUGCAUGGUGGGGGUUGGAAAGUUUCGGCGGUUGGGGAUGGACUCGCGGCUUAUCAGCUUGUUGGUGGGGUAGUGGCUUACCAAGGCUUUGACGGGUAGCCGGCCUGAGAGGGUGACCGGGCACAUUGGGACUGAGAGACGGCGCAGACUCCUACGGGAGGCAGCAGUGGGGAAUAUUGCACAAUGGGCGGAAGCCUGAGGCAGCAACGUCGCGUGCGGGAUGACGGCCUUCGGGUUGUAAACCGCUUUCGCCUGUGACGAAGCGUGAGUGACGGUAAUGGGUAAAGAAGCACCGGCUAACUACGUG